AACUGCUCUUAGGAUGAAGUGACUGGAGCCCAGAUACCUUAUUUAGCAAUCAGUGCUCGGCACAAGGACUUGCUGUGCCAACGAAAAGGAAGCGAGGCAUUUUGGCUAGUCACCGCGUUUUUGCUGCGUCACAGGGAGACAGAAGAUGGGCUGCUAUUUCGUCGGCUAAAUGCUAUCAUUUUAAGCACCGUUCCAAAGAAAACAGGGAUCUUGCCAGAGGAAAAUAACAUAUACCAUAAAGGAAAAAGAAAUGUGCAUCAAGGCAAAUAAACAGCUCUCUACUAAGGGCCUAGGAUCUUGCUAGACGAGUCAUUUCUCUGGUUGAAAAGCAGUUGAGAAAGGCAAGACAAGGGGGGCGGGGGCCCAGCAGGGCACCUCUGAGCCCUUCCUGCUGCUCUUCAAAGACAGACGCAUUUUCCUUUCUACGGUCUCCUUGCAAGUCUUCUGUAGGCCCUGCCACCUUCAGGCUGACUGACUGCCUCCUUCAAAUAUCAGCAUUUGAUGGAUGUGCUGGAAGGAGACCCCUGCUGACCCCUGCUGACUCCAUGACAGAGGGAUGGAAAUUCUGCCCCUCCCAGACCUCACCCUAUGCGUUCUGUUUCCUUUAU
rnacentral:lncRNA from 1 species